rnacentral:rRNA from 1 species
AAACGACUCUCGGCAACGGAUAUCUCGGCUCUCGCAUCGAUGAAGAACGUAGCGAAAUGCGAUACUUGGUGUGAAUUGCAGAAUCCCGUGAACCAUCGAGUCUUUGAACGCAAGUUGCGCCCCAAGCCUUCUGGCUGAGGGCACGUCUGCCUGGG